AGUGAACGCUGGCGGCAUGCCUAACACAUGCAAGUCGAACGGAAGCACAGUAAUAUCUUGCUAUUACGGGUGGCGAGUGGCGGUCGGGUGAGGUAUACAACGGAAUCUACUUUUUCGUGGGGGUUAACGUAGGGAAACUUACGCUAAUAUCGCAUACGACCUACCGGUGAAAGCAUGGGAUCUUCUGACCUUUCGCGAUUGAACGCGCCGAUGUGGGACUUGCUAGUUGGCGGGGUAAUUGCCCACCCGGUCGACGAUCCGUGGCUGGUCUGUGAGGAGGAUCGGCGGCACUGGAAUUUGGACACGGUCCAUGGUCCUGCGGGAGGCAGCAGUGUGGAAUAUUGGGCAGUAGGCGCAAGCCUGAUCCAGCCAUACGGCGUGGGUGAAGAAGGCCUUCCGGUUGUGAAGCCCUUUUUUUGGGAGAGAAAAGCAUCAGGUUAAUACCCCGCUGUUCUGACGGUACCCAGUAAAUAAGCACCGGCUAACUACGUG
rnacentral:rRNA from 1 species